rnacentral:pre_miRNA from 1 species
AGUACAACUGCUGAGUCAUAUGGUAGUUGCAUAUUUAGUUUUAAAAGAAACUGCUGAACUGUUUUCCAUAGUGACUAUACCAUAUUAGAUUCCCACAAGGGAU